UACGUAGGCAGCAAGCGUUGUUCGGAGUUACUGGGCGUAAAGGGUGUGUAGGCGGUUUUUUAAGUUUGGUGUGAAAUCUCCCGGCUCAACUGGGAGGGUGCGCCGAAUACUGAAAGACUAGAGUGCGGGAGAGGAAAGUGGAAUUCCUGGUGUAGCGGUGAAAUGCGUAGAUAUCAGGAGGAACACCGGUGGUGUAGACGGCUUUCUGGACCGUAACUGACGCUGAGACACGAAAGCGUGGGUAGCAAACAGG
rnacentral:rRNA from 1 species